UACGGAGGGUGCGAGCGUUGUCCGGAAUCACUGGGCGUAAAGGGCGCGUAGGUGGCCUGUGGAAGUCUGCGGUGAAAGCCCGGCGCUCAACGCCGGGUCGGCCGUGGAUACUCUCGGGCUUGAGCUUACUAGGAGGCAGAUGGAAUUCCGGGUGUAGCGGUGGAAUGCGUAGAGAUCCGGAAGAACACCGGUGGCGAAGGCGGGUCUGCUG
rnacentral:rRNA from 1 species